rnacentral:tRNA from 1 species
CGUCUAGUGGCAGGACAACAGCCUUUCGAGCUGACAACGCGGGUUCUCCCGCCGUUGGCGGGAUCCGCCCCCAGCAAGGAACCGCUGGGCGGAGAUUCCCGCCCGAG